rnacentral:piRNA from 1 species
AAGCCCAGAGCUUGGAACCACGG